rnacentral:misc_RNA from 1 species
UCAAACUUGGUCAUUUAGAGGAAGUAAAAGUCGUAACAAGGUCUCCGUAGGUGAACCUGCGGAGGGAUCAUUACAUGAUUUUGAGGGGACUUCUGUCCCUUCAUCCAACCCACAAACCCCGAGGAACUUUUAUGUCGAGUGGUUCGGCGCUCUCUUGGGAGCCGCCUCUCAAACGCAUCGCUGGCUUUUCGUGAUGAGUCUGAUGGUGUCACAUCGUGAGUAUUAAAACUUUCAACAACGGAUCUCUUGGCUCUCGCAUCGAUGAAGAACGCAGC